rnacentral:rRNA from 1 species
CAGCAGCCGCGGUAAUACCGGCGGCCCGAGUGGCGGUCACUAUUAUUGGGCUUAAAGCGUCCGUAGCCGGGUUGGGAAGUCCUCCGGGAAAUCUGGCCGCUUAACGGUCAGAAUGCCGGAGGAUACUCCCAGCCUAGGGAGCGGGAGAGGCCGAGGGGAUUCCCGGAGUAGGGGUGAAAUCCUAUAAUCCCGGGAGGACCACCUGUGGCGAAGGCGCUCGGCUGGAACGCGUCCGACGGUGAGGGCCGAAGGCCAGGGGAGCAAACCGGAUUAGAUACCCGGGUAGUCCUGGCUGUAAACGAUGCGGACUUUGUGUCGGACAAGCUAUGAGCUUGUCCGGUGCCGGAGGGAAACCGUUAAGUCCGCCGCCUGGGGAGUACGGCCGCAAGGCUGAAACUUAAAGGAAUUGGCGGG